UGCAAGGUGGCUUAGUUGUAAAGCGCUAGGCUUUCGACCUGGAGGUCCGCUUUCGAAACCUGGUAA
rnacentral:tRNA from 1 species